GGAAGCGUGGCCGAGCGGUUUAAGGCACUGGUCUUGAAAACCAGCGAAGGGGGAACCCUUCCGUGAGUUCGAAUCUCACCGCUUCCGCCA
rnacentral:tRNA from 1 species